ensembl:rRNA 5S_rRNA 5S ribosomal RNA
GUCUAUGGCCAUGCCACCCUGAACACGCCUGAUCGCAUCUGAUCUCAGAAACUAAGCAGGGCUGAUCCUGGUUAGUACUUGGAUGGGUGACCACCUGGGAAUACCAGGUGCUGUAAGCU